rnacentral:tRNA from 1 species
GGCCGUUGGCGGGGGCACUGAUCCCGAUCGCUCUGUAUGCGUUCGCGGUGCAGCGGGGCGUGCGGCAAUGGUGGAUCCUGAUGCCGUUGGCGGUCG